rnacentral:rRNA from 1 species
UCAUUUAGAGGAAGUAAAAGUCGUAACAAGGUCUCCGUAGGUGAACCUGCGGAGGGAUCAUUACACAAAUAUGAAGGCGGGCUGGAACCUCUCGGGGUUACAGCCUUGCUGAAUUAUUCACCCUUGUCUUUUGCGUACUUCUUGUUUCCUUGGUGGGUUCGCCCACCACUAGGACAAACAUAAACCUUUUGUAAUUGCAAUCAGCGUCAGUAACAAAUUAAUAAUUACAACUUUCAACAACGGAUCUCUUGGUUCUGGCAUCGAUGAAGAACGCAGCGAAAUGCGAUAAGUAGUGUGAAUUGCAGAAUUCAGUGAAUCAUCGAAUCUUUGAACGCACAUUGCGCCCUUUGGUAUUCCAAAGGGCAUGCCUGUUCGAGCGUCAUUUGUACCCUCAAGCUUUGCUUGGUGUUGGGCGUCUUGUCUCUAGCUUUGCUGGAGACUCGCCUUAAAGUAAUUGGCAGCCGGCCUACUGGUUUCGGAGCGCAGCACAAGUCGCACUCUCUNNCAGCAAAGGUCUAGCAUCCAU